rnacentral:rRNA from 1 species
GAUGAACGCUGGCGGCGUGCCUAAUACAUGCAAGUCGAGCGAACGGACGAGAAGCUUGCUUCUCUGAUGUUAGCGGCGGACGGGCGAGUAACACGUGGAUAACCUACCUAUAAGACUGGGAUAACUUCGGGAAACCGGAGCUAAUACCGGAUAAUAUUUUGAACCGCAUGGUUCAAAAGUGAAAGACGGUCUUGCUGUCACUUAUAGAUGGAUCCGCGCUGCAUUAGCUAGUUGGUAAGGUAACGGCUUACCAAGGCAACGAUGCAUAGCCGACCUGAGAGGGUGAUCGGCCACACUGGAGCUGAGACACGGUCCAGACUCCUACGGGAGGCAGCAGUAGGGAAUCUUCCGCAAUGGGCGAAAGCCUGACGGAGCAACGCCGCGUGAGUGAUGAAGGUCUUCGGAUCGUAAAACUCUGUUAUUAGGGAAGAACAUAUGUGUAAGUAACUGUGCACAUCUUGACGGUACCUAAUCAGAAAGCCACGGCUAACUACGUG